GAUGCCAGCUAGCGAUCCGCCAAAGUUCCUCCGAUGACUUGGUGGGCAGCUUCCGGGAAACCAAAGCAUUUGGGUUCCGGGGGAAGUAUGGUUGCAAAGCUGAAACUUAAAGGAAUUGACGGAAGGGCACCACCAGGAGUGGAGCCUGCGGUUAAAUUUGACUCAACACGGGAAACCUCACCAGGCCCGGACACCGGAAGGAUUGACAGAUUGAGAGCUCUUUCUUGAUUCGGUGGGUGGUGGUGCAUGGCCGUUCUUAGUUGGUGGAGCGAUUUGUCUGGUUAAUUCCGAUAACGAACGAGACUCUAGCCUACUAAAUAGACGUACUUUAUUACCGGCAUCUCAAGGCCCAUCGGCUGUAUUGUUACUGAAUGUUAUUUGUAUAUUUUGUUUCUUAUAUAUAUUUAUAAUA
rnacentral:rRNA from 1 species